rnacentral:misc_RNA from 1 species
CUCACUCUCUUCUGUCAGUCUCUCCAGUGUCCCUCUUUUUCUUUUCUUUUGGUUCUUUUCUUUUGACCCUCCAGAUCUGAAUCCACAAAACCCACAACCUCAUGUAAAACUGCAAACCCCACUCCAUAGCUAGGGUUUCCCAAAUCAACCAAAAGAAAACCCAUUCGUUUUUCUUGAUGCUCUCUCUUCAGCAGUUCUUGACUUUAAGAACCCAAAAACAUUUUUCUUUUUCUUGAAUAAUAGUAAUAAAUGAAGAGAGAGAAGAGAUGAGUCCAGUGCUUUUCUGGUGAAGUUGUGCUGGGGUGCAAAUGGGUCGGACAUGACUGAGUUGCUUAAAACCUGG